AUAAUGUGCCUUCAACGAUAAAUUAGAAGUUUAAAAUCAAAUAUGUUAGGUUUAUUUGAGGAAAUAUAUUUCUUUGUUAAGCUUUUAGAUUACUUCGUCCCGAUUGGAUUGUAAACGGAGUUACAACAGUAACAAAAAAUCAGCAUUCGAAGGUUACUUUUGUUGGUAAAAUAAGGCAGAUUUAAUUUAUAAACAUGAAAAUGAUAUAAAGAAAAUAACAGAAAUAAUAACAAAAUAAACAGCUUUCAUUUACUCCUACUUUUUGGCUAGGUUUGGAAGGGACCCUUCUUCAAUCUGAAUGUUUUCUCAAGAAAAUACAGGGUGACCCAAAAAACAGGGAUUAAGGUUUUAAAGUCUCAAUAAUCUUUUGAAAUUACUCUAAAAAGUGCACUAGUAUAUAGUUUUUAAUUUUAGAAGGAGUUGUUUUGGCGUUCAAUACUUUCGUUUGACGUAAAACUGUGUCUAAUUUUUAAAACCUAUCUGUUAACUUUAAACAAUUAAUAAUUUUAAUCAUUCUAUAUAAAUCUGUAUAGAAGAUGCAGAGAAAAAAACAACUUAACAAUGCUUAGACGUCAUAAUACUUAAUACUUAUUUAGGUUACUAUAAUGUUUAUUGUUUAUAUUUCAAACUAUUUCUUUCAGAGGUCCCAAUUUGAUUCCAUGCAAAAAAAAGUCGCCUAUGUAAACUUUAGGAGUAUCAUGGCUCCUCUCCAGAUUGAGAAAACUCUACCUGAACCUGGAAUUAAGCCUAACCUCAAACAAUUGUGAUCUUCAAUGCAUAUUUGUGCCAAAUCACAAUUAUCCCAAUAUAAAGCUUUUAAUAUUUUAUAUUUCAGAGUAGAAUGGCAGGUCAUGAUCUUCAAGACUGAAGCUCUACUACCUGCUCUUGAACCUGUUGAGCUUUCCAGCUCAGAAAAUCAGGAAUACCAGAUCUGAAACUAAAUCUGAUGAACCUGAUCGUUAUUGAGCUGAGGAUCACUGGGGCCUGCUAAACUCGGUGCGGCUGAUCUCCUUUCGAGUCAAGUUCCGACCGCUAAAAGUUGAACAACUCGCAGCUCCAAGUCUCUCCUAUUCAGAAGAUUGAGAGCCUUGUUAGGAGAACCCGCUAUAAACCUCCUUGAUCUAAAACAGCUAAUCACACUCUACAGGGUACCGUCCUUUUUGUAGAGAGGAAUGGCAUGAUUAGCCAUCGUGUUUUAACUGUUCUGAUCCUGGAAGUUUAGAGCUAAACCUGAAACCAAACUAAACUAAACCUCACUAACUGGACUGGACUAAGCACCAAAUUGUAAGUAACCUUGUUAAUAAUCUAGUAGUAACUUGCUUCACUCCUCUGUAUCAAUCAAUCAAGCUGACCAUCUCUUUGCUGAUCCCAUCAAUCAAUCUGGACAUUUCUUUCUGAAGCCUUCAAUCAAUCUCAACAUUCUUCUCUGAGUCCAUCAAUCAACUAGUUGUUAUCUAUCAAUCAGUCUGCAAAUGAUCUCUAUCAAACAAACUUCAACAUUUCAAAUUAAAAGCCUUUUCAUAAAGAAACUAAAAUACUUUUUAUAAAUGAGACAAAUGUUUUAUCUUUCUAUCUGACAACUGAUAUUUU